rnacentral:lncRNA from 1 species
AAUUUUGGGGUAUGACAACAGCCCCUAUUUAAUCUUCUCGGACCUGAAGGUAUGAAUAGAAAGGACUUUUAAACAUACACGGUAGGAGAGGAUUUAAUACUAAAAUAACCAAGAAUUUGCCCACAGGGAAUGAAUGAAAUGAAUGAGAUGUAAGGUAGGGGUAUUUAUGGAAAGUUGUUCGAUGGAAGACGUAUAAGCUUUCGUAUAUGGUUAUUCAUUAGGGAUCAACUGACAUG